GGCUAUGCAGAAUGUUCUGGAACUCCUACGUGACAUGCUACAGGCAGUAAAUCCUAGUGAUUCUGCGGCUGUAAAAGAUGAAGUGAUAGUUGAGCUUGCCAUUCUGUUCAGGCUGAUGCACGUUUAAGAGAAGAGCUCAAAAAAGGAAAGUGGCUAUGGGGGAUUCCCGAGACAUUUUGCAUCUUAGAAAAGGCCUCCUGAAAGCAGUUUUGGGUCAUCUUGAGUGGCAGGAAUGGGCAUCUGAGCAUUGUUCAGCACCUUUUCGAGCUCCUGAGUUGUGGGAUUGUCCAAGUAAUGCAGAUAUCAAUGAGAGAGCUGAUAUUUGGUCAUUAGGAUGCACUUUAUAUGCGAUAAUGUGAUAAUGUUUUUUACCAUGUGAUUUAAGAUUUAUUGGUUUAAGUUUUCGGGUCUUUGUCUCCUGAGAGCUAUAAUAUAAUUUGAUGACAGUGUUGAAUGUUUUGAACUAAUUUGUGGAUUGUUAAUACAAUGUUGAAUGCUUUUUACUUUUUGUUAUUUGAAAAUCAAGUUCAUUUGA